rnacentral:rRNA from 1 species
CCGCAGGCGGGGCAUAUACAUGCAGUCGAGCGAAUCUUUAAAAGCUUGCUUUUGAAGAUUAGCGGCGGACGGGUGAGUAACACGUGGGCAACCUGCCUGUAAGACUGGGAUAACUUCGGGAAACCGGAGCUAAUACCGGAUAAUCUGUUUCCUCGCAUGAGGGAAUUCUAAAAGACGGCGCAAGCUGUCACUUACAGAUGGGCCCGCGGCGCAUUAGCUAGUUGGUGAGGUAAUGGCUUACCAAGGCAAAGACGGGUAGCUGGUCUGAGAUGAUGAUCAGCCACACUGGUACUGGAACACGGACCAGACUCCUACGGGAGGCAGCAGUGGGGAAUCUUGGUCAAUGGGCGCAAGCCUGAACCAGCGACACCGCGUGAGUGAUGAAGGCCUUCGGGUUGUAAAGCUCUGUGGGGAGGGACGAAAGACUGAGGUCUAAUAGGCUUCAGGUUGACGGUACCUCCUUAGCAAGCACCGGCUAACUCUGUGCCAGCAGCCGCGGUAAGACAGAGGGUGCAAACGUUGCUCGGAAUCACUGGGCGUAAAGGGCGUGUAGGCGGGAAGGAAAGUCAGAUGUGAAAUCCCCAGGCUCAACCUGGGAACUGCAUUUGAAACUCCCUUUCUUGAGUACCGGAGAGGAAAGUGGAAUUCCUGGUGUAGAGGUGAAAUUCGUAGAUAUCAGGAGGAACACCAGUGGCGAAGGCGGCUUUCUGGACGGUAACUGACGCUGAGACGCGAAAGCGUGGGGAGCAAACAGGAUUAGAUACCCUGGUAGUCCACGCUGUAAACGAUGAGUGCUAGGUGUCGUGGGUAUUGACCCCCGCGGUGCCGUAGCUAACGCAUUAAGCACUCC